AGUUUCGGCAUCGCCCACUCUCCCUGUUCGGGGCGAUGUCAGCGGGUGCGGGUUUCCUCUUUUCCCGCACCCGCAAUACCUGAACGGCCGGCGCGCCCCCUCCCGCGCCGGCCGUUUUGU
rnacentral:sRNA from 1 species